CGAGAUGAGUUCUCCCUGAGACUAUAAGUCUCCUGAAGGAACGUUGAAGACGACGACGUUGAUAGGUCGGGUGUGUAAGUGUAGCGAUACAUUGAGCUAACCGAUACUAAUGAACCGUGAGGCUUAACCUU
rnacentral:rRNA from 1 species